UACGAAGGGGGCAAGCGUUGUUCGGAAUUACUGGGCGUAAAGGGCGCGUAGGCGGCUUAUCAAGUCAGGCGUGAAAUCCCUGGGCUCAACCCAGGAACUGCGUCCGAUACUGGUUGGCUUGAAUCCGGGAGAGGGAUGUGGAAUUCCAGGUGUAGCGGUGAAAUGCGUAGAUAUCUGGAGGAACACCGGUGGCGAAGGCGACAUCCUGGACCGGUAUUGACGCUGAGGCGCGAAAGCCAGGGGAGCAAACGGG
rnacentral:rRNA from 1 species